UACGGAGGGUGCAAACGUUGCUCGGAAUCAUUGGGCGUAAAGCGCACGUAGGCGGCGAAGCAAGUCGGGUGUGAAAGCCCUGGGCUCAACCCAGGAAGUGCAUUCGAAACUAUUUCGCUUGAAUCUCGGAGGGGGUCAGAGAAUUCCCGGUGUAGAGGUGAAAAUUCGUAGAUAUCGGGAGGAAUACCAGUGGCGAAGGCGCUGACCUGGACGAAGAUUGACGCUGAGGUGCGAAAGCGCGGGGAGCAAACAGG
rnacentral:rRNA from 1 species